rnacentral:rRNA from 1 species
UACGUAGGGGGCAAGCGUUGUCCGGAUUUAUUGGGCGUAAAGCGCGCGCAGGUGGUGGAUUAAGUUGUGGGUAAAAGGCAUUGGCUCAACCAAUGUAAGCCUGCAAAACUGGUUCACUUGAGUGCAGGAGAGGGGAGUGGAAUUCCGGGUGUAGUGGUGAAAUGCGUAGAGAUCCGGAGGAACACCAGUGGCGAAGGCGACACGCUGGGCCGUACCUGACACUGAUGCGCGACAGCAUGGGGAGCAAACAGG